UUUACCGUGAGGUAAAAUCUGAAGAGUGGUAAUGCGAACAUCCAGCCCGUAACGAAUGAGUGAACUCGUGGUGGCAUUUAUAUCUGGCGACCCGCCAAAUAAACGGGGAAGCCUUUAUACUGAUUGGUGAUGGAUUGGGUGAUAAAGCAGUCAGUAAGAUAUAGGU
rfam:Candidatus Omnitrophica bacterium CG1_02_40_15 cg1_0.2_scaffold_14427_c, whole genome shotgun sequence.